GCUGCGAUAGCUCAGUUGGUAGAGCAAUAGGUCUUGUGAUGACAUUUCCUGAGAAGGACCAAUCGCCACAUACUUCUAAAGUGGUACUAUGGGUCGCAGGUUCGAGCCCUGCUCGCAGCU
rnacentral:tRNA from 1 species